rnacentral:misc_RNA from 1 species
UUAUCAAAUCUUAUGAUUCGAUUCAAUUCUCGAUUCGUAAAAUAAGGAUUUCGAUUCUCAAUUCUAAUCUUAAUUUGACAACUAUGCUCUACUCAUACAAUACCUUUUAGAGCAGUGAAUUGUUUUAACACAACUCUUGGCAAAUUAUUGGAAGUUGUUCCAAGUGUAGCGGGAAGCUAAAAUAUAAGAAGGAUGUUGUCACUUUUACAUCAAAACUGAUACUUUUUUCCUGUGUUAAAUGGCUUGGGGGACUAGCAAGACGGUAAAAAAACUUGAGAAUUAGAAAGGUCAUUGUAGUGAUUAUUCUCAUUUCAGGAAAUGCCUGUGAUUGCUUCUUUUUGGUUUGUUUUUCUUGUGCCUGCUUCUAUAUUUGUGCCUAUUUGUGUGCAAAUGAAUGUGGGUGUUCAGCUGCUUGUACAUAUUUUUUUAUUGAAGUAUUUUCAACCGCUAAUUUUUUUUUAUUGAAGCAUUUUCAAUGGCUAAUUAAGAAGAUGCACAACUUGUUGCUUCAAGUGGCUUUUAAUCUAUUCUUAUUUAUUUAACGUUUUAAAAUAGGAUUAUAUUGCACAAAGGGCCAAUUUGGGUUUGAGGCGGCCAAAAGUUCAGUUCCUGAAACCAGUAAUGGUUUGUUGUAAGGGUCUCAUUGCUUGCUCAGUUUUGAGG